UCCUGGCUUAGGAUGAACGCUAGCUACAGGCUUAACACAUGCAAGUCGAGGGGCAGCAUUGAGGUUGCUUGCAACUUCAGAUGGCGACCGGCGCACGGGUGAGUAACGCGUAUCUAACUUCCCCAUAGUAGAGGAUAGCCCGGCGAAAGUCGGAUUAAUACUCUAUGUUGUACAACGAGGACAUCUGAAUUGUACCAAAGAUUCAUCGCUAUGGGAUGGGGAUGCGUCUGAUUAGCUUGUCGGCGGGGUAACGGCCCACCGAGGCAACGAUCAGUAGGGUUCUGAGAGGAAGGUCCCCCACAUUGGUACUGAGACACGGACCAAACUCCUACGGGAGGCAGCAGUGAGGAAUAUUGGUCAAUGGGCGUAAGCCUGAACCAGCCAAGUAGCGUGCCAGGAUGACUGCCCUAUGGGUUGUAAACUGCUUUUAUGCGGGAAUAAAGUCAGGUACGUGUACCUGUUUGUAUGUACCGCAUGAAUAAGGACCGGCUAAUUCCGUGCCAGCCGCGGC
rnacentral:rRNA from 1 species